UGGGGAAUUUUGGACAAUGGGCGAAAGCCUGAUCCAGCAAUGCCGCGUGUGUGAAGAAGGCCUUCGGGUUGUAAAGCACUUUUGUCCGGAAAGAAAUCCUUGGCUCUAAUACAGUCGGGGGAUGACGGUACCGGAAGAAUAAGCACCGGCUAACUACGUGCCAGCAGCCGCGGUAAUACGUAGGGUGCAAGCGUUAAUCGGAAUUACUGGGCGUAAAGCGUGCGCAGGCGGUUUGCUAAGACCGAUGUGAAAUCCCCGGGCUCAACCUGGGAACUGCAUUGGUGACUGGCAGGCUAGAGUAUGGCAGAGGGGGGUAGAAUUCCACGUGUAGCAGUGAAAUGCGUAGAGAUGUGGAGGAAUACCGAUGGCGAAAGGCAGCCCCCUGGGCCAAUACUGACGCUCAUGCACGAAAAGCGUGGGGAGCAAAACAGGAUUAGAUACCCUGGUAGUCCACGCCCUAAAACGAUGUCAACUAGUUGUUGGGGAUUCAUUUCCUUAGUAACGUAGCUAACGCGUGAAGUUGACCGCCU
rnacentral:rRNA from 1 species